CCCUUAGAUGUCCUGGGCCGCACGCGCGUUACACUGAUGCAUUCAACGAGUCUACCUUGGCCGAGAGGCCUGGGCAACCUUUUAAACGUGCAUCGUGAUAGGGAUAGAUUAUUGCAAUUAUUAAUCUUGAACGAGGAAUUCCUAGUAAACACAAAUCAUCAAUUUGCAUUGAUUACGUCCCUGCACUUUGUACACACCGCCCGUCGCACCUACCGAUUGAAUGGUCCGGUGAGGACUCGGGAUUUUUACCAGUUUCCUUCAUUGGGAAUUGGUGAGGAGAACUUGUCCAAACCUUAUCAUUUAGAGGAAGGUGAAGUCGUAACA
rnacentral:rRNA from 1 species